UAAGGAAUAUUGCGCAAUGGGCGACAGCCUGACGCAGCGACGCCGCGUGGGGGAUGAAGGUCUUCGGAUUGUAAACCCCUUUCGGCAGGGAAGAUGGAACGGGUAACCGUUCGGACGGUACCUGCAGAAGCAGCCACGGCUAACUUCGUGCCAGCAGCCGCGGUAAUACGAAGGUGGCAAGCGUUGUUCGGAUUUACUGGGCGUACAGGGAGCGUAGGCGGUUGGGUAAGCCCUCCGUGAAAUCUCCGGGCCUAACCCGGAAAGUGCGGAGGGGACUGCUCGGCUAGAGGAUGGGAGAGGAGCGCGGAAUUCCCGGUGUAGCGGUGAAAUGCGUAGAGAUCGGGAGGAAGGCCGGUGGCGAAGGCGGCGCUCUGGAACAUUUCUGACGCUGAGGCUCGAAAGCGUGGGGAGCAAACAGGAUUAGAUACCCGAGUAGUCCCUGAGCGGGCUGGCAAGGCGCAU
rnacentral:rRNA from 1 species